AGCAAGUUCCAGGACAGCCUUAUAUAUGAAACCCUGUCUCAAAACAGACAAACAACAACAACAACAAACUAUUAAUCAAGUGUAUCUAUCUCUGCUCUUGGGAGUGAUAUUAAUACUUUGCUGAGAGACUUUUUUAAAAAAAGAUAUUCUUUUACUUUUAAUUAUUAUGUGCAUAUAUGUGUAUCUGAAUGUGGGUUUGAAUAUUUGCAUGCAGUACCUAUGGAGGCUGAAAGAGGGUACCAUAUCCCCUGGAACUGGAGCUAAAGAGUUGUCAGCUGUCUGAUGUGGGUGUUGGGAACCAAGGGUGUCAUCUGCAAGGGAAGCAGAUGCUCUUAACUGCUGAGCCCUCUCUCCAGUGUCCGCUGAGAGGCUUCUACACAGAAUGACACUGUCCUGAGUCAGCCAAGGGCUCCUGAUUUCUCUGCUUAGACACAGCCUAGCUCCUAGGUUCCAUUGUCUAAACUUGGCUUCGCUCUCCUCCUGCCAGAUAAUCAAUCUAAGACAGAUCCAGGAGGUAUUCAACCAGUUCAAGGUGGUUCUGAGCCAACAGGAACAAGAAGUGGAGGCUGCCUUGCGCAGGAAGUACACUCUCAUAGACAAGAAUGACUUUGCAGCCAUUUCUGCCGUCCAGAAGGCAGGGCUUAUGGAUGCAGAAGGUCAUCUAGUAGGUGAGCCUGAUGGACAAAGCUUUGGACUUGGGGUUGCCCCUUUUUCUAUCAAACCUGGGAAGAAAAUCAAGUCCAAGAAGACAGGGAAAGAACAGAUCAG